AUGUACUAAGCGUUGGGAAUGUAGAGACUGACCAAAGUAUGGUCUCUACCUUCAAGGAGCUCACAGUCUAUUG
rnacentral:miRNA from 1 species